GGAGAUGACCAUAGCAUCCUGUAGUUCACAGAGCUUUCAGCAGAAGUCUGAUAGGUUAGCGAUCAUCCAGGGAGCAGUCAAGGAAGCCUUGGGGACCAGAGACACUGGAAGAUCCUCCAGCCUUCUGAAGAGGCUGGCUACACAUCAGGUAAGCUACAACUCCCAGACUCUCCUACUUUUAUUAAACAAUUGUUGAGUAAGGCUGGAGUGGCUAUACACCAGGUAAACUACAACUCCCAGACUCUCCUACUCUUAUUUAACUGAGUAUGGCUGGCUACACACCAGGUAAACUACAACUCCCAGACUCUCCUACUCUUAUCACGCUAGUAAGGCUUGCUACACACCAUGGAUGGUUCUUUGUAUGUCAUAUGAAGAAAACCUAGGAAUAAAUGUACCAUGAUAAAUGUAUAUUUAUAACGAUUUUCAGUGAAUUGUGAAAUUGUGAAAACUUUCGGUGUGUUGCCUCCAGUAAAAAUACACAGUGUCAGGUGAUUACAUUUUCUGUACAGGUCCAAACAGAUCCAUUUUUUUUAACAACUAAAACAGGUGCUGCUAACACAAAUUAUUCUUCUUUAUUUAGCUGAGAGCAGCAGUAGAGACUCCGAGCCAAAGUAGACACCUGGAAAAUGAUCCAGAGAUUGAGAUUUGAGCACAUGCUAAGAUUGAUAAACACCAGAGUGGAUUUCAGCCAAAGCCCCAGCACUAAACUUUGGAUUCCCUACUGUCUGGAGUUGUACCAAAACAACUAAUCUGCCAAUCUCUCCUCUGUGUAUAUCUUUAUGUGUAUGUGUGUGUGUGUCUGUGUGUGUAUGUGUGUGUUCUACACUAACCGUCUGCAGAGGCUUGUCGUUGAACUGGUAACUGGCCAGUGGCUCCUGGGGGCCCUUUUCAGGGACUCUGUCGGCCUCCAGACAAACACCACAGAAGAAGAAAGGGUGGAGCUCCUGACCAGCCUGGGCCGGCUGAGGGAGGGCUGGCAGCGUGGCUGUGUGGCCGGGGCUGCAGAGCGCAGGGCCCGGCUGGGGGAGGAGCUCUCCCUCUGGAGGGGCUACCAGCAGCGGUCCAGGCUGCUCUGGAGGGUCCUUAGGUCCCCCCAGCCCGACCCCCAGCCCGACCCCGGCGGGGGGACGCCCUGCACGCUGCGGCGGCUACGGCGCGCCCACGACGGCUACAAGCGGCUGGAGGAAACCAUGGCCACACACGGCCCUGUUUACGGGCAGACCCUCGAGGUGGGGAGAAGGCUGUGUGCGUCCACAACAACAUCAACAGAGCCUGCUGAUCACGGACAACUAUUCCAAGAGCUCCGGUGUCUGGAGGAGGCGUGGGAGCAGACCAGCACCCUGCUGGGAAGGAGAACGGCCCUGGUUAACACUGUGCUUCAGGUACACACCGCGCGGACAUGCACCUGCAUAUUGCACACCGAUCUAUACAGGCCGAGGACACCAACAUCUCCCAGUCUAUAGAAACUGUGCAUAGAGCGAUGCAAGAGCAAGCUUUGUCUGAAGAAAAGAGUGCAGGGUAGUUGUAUGAUAAGAACACAAGGUUAAUAGAACGCACGUUAUUUUUUGAACGUAGGGUUAGUGCAUUAUAGUGUCAUCUUUGAGAUACAGGCAUACAGCAUCUCAACAAAGGGCACAAAUCCGGUCUUGAAUGAUGUUUGUUUUCGCACACCACUUCAAGCAAGGCCAGCCGUUCCAACGUCACGGUACCGCACGUCAGCCCGUCCGGCGCUGUUGGCCGUUAGUGGUGCGAGGUAGCCAGCGGUUGAUCCAGCAACCCUUCA
rnacentral:lncRNA from 1 species